rfam:Oryza sativa (indica cultivar-group) chromosome 10, whole genome shotgun sequence.
AUGCAUUGGAUGGAUGCCCGGGCAUUUAGAAGGAAGGACGCUUUCAGAGGUGAAAGGCCAUGGGGAGAGAGAGCAUUCGUGAUCCAUGGAUCUCCGAUUGGGAAACCGUAUCCAAGCUCCGUGGCUAGUCUGCGCUCUUUGGACUUUUCAAACUUAGCGAACUAAAACAUCUGAGUAGCUAAAGGAAGGAAAAUCAACUGAGACCCCGUUAGUAGCGGCGAGCGAGAGCGGAACAAGGGUUUUCAUCAAAAGAAAUCCGGAGCGGUUUCAUUCGAUUUGUUGUGGAUUGGAUGAUGGAAAAACUAGCAAGCAGCAAGCGUAGGCUAUGUUGCCGUAGCGCGCCCUACGGAGUUGUACAAAGUGAUUUGUUGUGGAUUGGAUGAUGGAAAAACUAGCAAGCAGCAAGCGUAGGCUAUGUUGCCGUAGCGCGCCCUACGGAGUUGUACAAAGUCAGCAACCAUUUUGGGGCGCAAGCAUAGGCAACACAGGACUGAUGACGGGGUGGGGUGCGCAGUGAACUAGUUUUCUAAAAAGAUUGGAAGAUCCGGCCAAAGAAGGUGAUAGCCCUGUUCAUUUGUUCCCAUGGUUCGAUCCUUCCCAGUAAAACGCGGCGUGUUCGAAUGAUGAUCGCUUUUACGCGAGAAAGGGGGACCACCCUCUAAGCCUAAGUAUUCCUCAAUGACCGAUAGCAUACAAGUACCGUGAGGGAAAGGUGAAAAGAACCCCAAUCGGGGAGUGCAAUAGAGAACUUGAGAUCCGAUGCAAACAAUCACUCGAAGGAGCGAAGCGCGGGCGCACUCACUCUAACGGCGUACCUUUCGCAUGAUGGGUCAGCGAGGAAAUGGGAACAGCGGCUUAAGCCAUUAGGUGUAGGCGCUUUCCAGAGGUGGAAGAUUUACGUUCUUCCUAUUUGACCCGAAACCGAUCGAUCUAGCCAUGAGCAGGUUGAAGAGAGCUCUAACAGGCCUUGGAGGACCGAACCCACGUAUGUGGCAAAAUAUGGGGAUGACUUGUGGCUAGGGGUGAAAGGCCAACCAAGAUCGGAUAUAGCUGUUUUUCCGCGAAAUCUAUUUUAGUAGAGCGUAUGAUGUCGAUUGCCUGAGGUAGAGCACUCAAUGGGCUAGGGUGGCCCCCAUUUCGCUUUACCAACCCCAGGGAAACUCCGAAUACAGGCCGUCAUCCUUAGUACAGACAAACUAAUUGGGUGCUAAGAUCCGAAGUCGAGAGGGAAAUAGCCCAGAUCGUACGCUAAGGUCCCUAAGCAAUCACUUAGUGGAAAAGGAAGUGAUCGAGCGAUGACAACCAGGAGGUGGGCUUGGAAGCAGCCAUCCUUUGAAGAAAGCGUAAUAGCUCACUGGUCUAGCACCAUGGCACCGAAAAUGUCUCAGGUCUCAAGUGAUCCACCGAAGCGACGAGACCUUGAAAGCUGCUUUUUCAAGUGUCAGUAGCGGGACGUUCUGUCAAUCGGGGAAGGUUUUUGGUGACAAGACCUGGAGAUAUCAGAAGUGAGAAUGCUGACAUGAGUAACGAGAAAUCCUGUGAAAAACACGAUCGCCUGCCAGUGGAAGGCUUUCUGCGUUCAGUCAAUCUACGCAGAGUGAAUCGGUCCCUAAGGAAACCCCGAAAGGGCUGCCGUCCGAUGGGUACACUAAAGUGACGAAGUUGCUUUGACUACUGAACCAUGCCUGGAUCGUCGGAGCGAAUUGAAUGAUCGAGCCGAGGGCUGCCCCCUCUUCCCCUCGCUCUCCUUUCCUUAAUAUUCACCGUCAAGUCAUCAAAGCCGUCAACUAAUUCAGAGGGGCUCAGCUGGCCCGGUCGCCCUACGCUACUGGCGCUUCCUAAGGUGAAGCUCUCGUCUUUGGCAACCAGCAAACUCAGGGCUAAAACCUGUAGUUUUGAAGCAAGGGAUGAGUGCGAAAGCCAUUGCGCUUCCGUACACGUGCAUAUGUUUUCUUGCUCCGUCAUGCGUUAGUACAAUAACGCACAGCCGUUUUCUUGCUGGGGCGGACACGGAUUUCUCUCUAAAGGCGAAGACUCAGAAGUGGGCGAACACUCGGCCCAGCGGGCGAACAUGCCGGCUCCGGCUCCGCGCACCUGUUGACACCUUUCGAAGCACUUUCACGUGUGAACCGAAGUCGUCUUGCCGAACUCCUUCCUUUCUUAUUUCAGUCCUUGCCUUUUUCAUCUUCCGUAGGGGCCUUUAGUCUUUUGAUUAGACUAGAGGUCGCGAGAGAGCAGAGCGUACCGCCCUUCCAUAGUCGCGAGGAUCUUAAUAGUCGGUCGCGACUGUUGUCAUAGUCAACGACGGUUGAAACUUCCAGGAAAAAACUUCGAAUUGGGAGGGCGAUCCUCCCGGUGAGCUGACCGUACCCCAAACCGACACAGGUGAACAAGUAGAGUAUACUAGGGCGCGUCGAGAGAACCAUGUCGAGAACUCGGCAAAAUGACCCCAUAACUUCGGGCCCAACUAUCCCACCUGAACUAACCAGUUCAUUAAGCCAAUUUAGGGUGAGAAUAAUCACGGUGAAUCUG